AUUGAACGCUGGCGGCAUGCCUUACACAUGCAAGUCGAACGGUAACAGGUCUUCGGAUGCUGACGAGUGGCGAACGGGUGAGUAAUACAUCGGAACGUGCCCGAUCGUGGGGGAUAACGAAGCGAAAGCUUUGCUAAUACCGCAUACGAUCUACGGAUGAAAGCAGGGGACCGCAAGGCCUUGCGCGAACGGAGCGGCCGAUGGCAGAUUAGGUAGUUGGUGGGAUAAAAGCUUACCAAGCCGACGAUCUGUAGCUGGUCUGAGAGGACGACCAGCCACACUGGGACUGAGACACGGCCCAGACUCCUACGGGAGGCAGCAGUGGGGAAUUUUGGACAAUGGGCGAAAGCCUGAUCCAGCCAUGCCGCGUGCAGGAUGAAGGCCUUCGGGUUGUAAACUGCUUUUGUACGGAACGAAAAGACUCUGGUUAAUACCUGGGGUCCAUGACGGUACCGUAAGAAUAAGCACCGGCUGACUACGUGCCAGCAGCCGCCGCGG
rnacentral:rRNA from 1 species